AUGAGAAGAACAUGGCUCCUCUCUGAAAAAGAUGUUUCCUUAAAUGUCAGAAGUGUCUGUCUGCAGAACGUACGUGGGGCAGGCUUUUGUAAAGUGGAGAUUGCCUUUUUAUCGGCAUGCAGAAAAGUCUUUGAUAUCUGAGUUCUUGAGGAAAAUUGAGGCGCAGAAUUGAGACUUGGGCAGACCCAGUAACUUCAGAGAGGCUUCUUGUAGAACCCAUCCUGUUUUGGUUGAGAUCUGGCUAUGUAGAAAACAAGUGCAAAGAAAUCUACAUCCAAACAGAGAAUAGAUAAGAGUCUGUCUAUGCUCCAGCUUGGAUUUUGGUGUGAAAAAACGGUGAAAAAAGGGAGAAACAAUGACAUUUGCACAAGAAAACGUAGAAAUGGAAGAAAUAAAAUCCCCAGAGGAAGAAAUCA
rnacentral:lncRNA from 1 species